rnacentral:misc_RNA from 1 species
GAUGAAGAACGCAGCGAAAUGCGAUACUUGGUGUGAAUUGCAGAAUCCCGUGAACCAUCGAGUCUUUGAACGCAAGUUGCGCCUCAAGCCAUUAGGUUGAGGGCACGUCUGCCUGGGCGUCACAUAUCGUUGCCUGAUGCCAGUUUCCUCGUGAUGGGUGACUGUGCAGGGCGAAUGUUGGCUUCCCGUGAGCAUUGUUGCCUCAUGGUUGGUUGAAAAUUGAGUCCUUGGUAGGGAGCGCCGUGAUAGAUGGUGGUUGAGUGACGAACGAGACCCAAUCAUGUGAGACCCCUACCGAAUUUGGCCUUCAUGACCCACAUGCGUCUUUGGAACGCUCAUGACGAGACCUCAGGUCAGGCGGGGCUACCCGCUGAGUUUAAGCAUAUCAAUAAGCGGAGGA